rnacentral:rRNA from 1 species
GAAUUGCUAGUAAUGGCAGGUCAGCAUACUGCCGUGAAUACGUUCCCGGGCCUUGUACACACCGCCCGUCACACCAUGAGAGUUGGGGAUACCCGAAGCCUGUGAGCUAACUUUAUAAGGAGCAGCAGUCGAAGGUAGAAUCAAUGAUUGGGGUGAAGUCGUAACAAGGUACC